rnacentral:rRNA from 1 species
UACAGGGGGGGCAAGCGUUGUUCGGAAUUACUGGGCGUAAAGGGCUCGUAGGCGGCCGACUAAGUCCGACGUGAAAUCCCAAAGCUUAACUUUGGAACUGCGUCGGAUACUGGAUGGCUUGAAUUCGGGAGAGGGAUGCAGAAUUCCAGGUGUAGCGGUGAAAUGCGUAGAUAUCUGGGAGGAUACCGGUGGCGAAGGCGGCAUCCUGGACCGACAUUGACGCUGAGGAGCGAAAGCUAGGGGAGCAAACGGG